rnacentral:lncRNA from 1 species
UAGAUUUUAAAAGUUCCUGAAACUAUAAUAGUAAUUAGAUAUUAGCAGCAUACAGUACUUUUCAAAAAGGUAAAACUUGAAGGCAGAUUUUCAAUUUUAAUGUUUUCUAAAGUCACUCUGCCAAUAGGAUAGAGAGAAUAUAUGUAGAUUUAAAUCAACCAAUUGCUACUAAAACAUUCUGAGCUGGGGUUGGCCCCAUGGCCGAGUGCUUAAGUUUGAGCGCUCCACUGCAGGCGGCCCAGUGUUACGUUGGUUCGAGUCCUGCACACGGACAUGGAACUGCUCAUCAAACCACGCUGAGGUGGAGUCCCACAUGCCACAGCUAGAAGGACCCACAGCAAAGAAUAUACAACUAUGUACCAGGGGUCUUUGGGGAGAAAAAGGAAAAAAAUUAAAUCUUUAAAAAAAAAAAACUUUCUGAGCUGAGUGGACUUGAAGUUUCCGCUUGGCGAUGAACAGUGCUGGAAAAAGAACGCAUACCCAUCCUUAUAUCAACAAAACAGCCAUAAAAUCUGCAAGUUCACAAAAUUUUCUUGAGCUCAUCAGAGAGCUAAGGUUGCAGGGCAACCAACUAGCUUGAAAUCUAGCAAGAGGCAGCAACCUGCAGGGAGAUACAGGAUGUGAACAUUUCUUUACUCGGUACUGAAACAAUCAGAUGCAGACCAAAAAGAAAAAUUCAACAAGAAUAGCUAACAAGUUGAUGGAAACUGAUUGUGUGCUAGUGAAAGAGUGUGGAGACCCUUGGGGCUGCAAAUUUAAAGAAUGUUUGUAUCUUUUUUCAGGAUCUUUUGCCACAAAUCUCACUUGGCAAGUUUUCCUAAGAAAGCUCCCUUCAUGGUGCUUGGGCUUUUUCAGGCUCAUCCUGGUAGAAGAAAAGGCUGAAAAUGAUAUCUCCAAUUUAUUACUGCAUUUGUCUGGGGGCACUUUUCUGAUUGAAAUGACACUAAAUCCACUGGGAAGUAGAAGCUGUGGGCUUCACGAGGAUGCAACCCACACAGCUGUGAUCAAACCUUUGAUCUGUUACCACGACUGUCAAAAUAAACUGAUAUGAAAUAUGAAAAAAAGAGAGUUCUUAUUUUUAACUGCCAGAU